UGGGUUUCAAUUUCUCGUUUAACCAAAUAGCCAAAUAUCCUCUUGAAUUUUAAUCCAUGUUAUUCGAAUUUUUUAAGGAUCGUAUUUUAAAUUUCUUUAAAGUUUUCAAUUUUCGGCAUUAAGACAUUAACUAAUCAACUUGGUACCAAUUUUUUGGGCGUUACGAGGGUGCUAAUCCUUCCUUGUACGUAACUAACUCCCGAACCCAUUUUUCUGAAUUUCGUGGACCAAAACCGUUUUUUAAUAAAAUCAAAUCGUUUAUUAAAAACAACCACUUUUCGAGGUGAUCCAAUCACACCUCAUUAAAAAGGAUUGGUGGCGACUCCCGUUUUCAUUUUUCAAAAUCCAAAUCGACUCCGUUUUCAUCAAAAAAUGGUGUCAACAAACCUCAAAGAAUCAAAGAAGAGAGAAUAUCAAAGAGAAGAAAGAAAGAAUGAUUUCUUCACUAAGUUCAACAUGAAGAACCUACAACCAUAGUAUUUAUACUAAGUUUUAACAAAGAAGAUGAAUAACAACCUGAACCAACUAACUCAAUAACUUAUUAACAACCUAAUUGUUGCAGCAGUUCCUUAACAUUCAUCGAACCUCCUGGCUGCUGCUAUUGAAGCUUGCGAACAGCUCAACUGUGAACACCUAGACUGCUGCAAAUCAAUCCUUAACACAUUAAAAUAUUUAAAAGUUUCACUUAACCAUAAAUUAAAAUUAAGUAAUAAAAUUCAAUAAAAUUUAAUGUUUAGGAAAACCGAAUCCUAUAAAACUAAAAUGAAAAAGUUACUUUAUACCAAAAAAAUAUGGAAAUGUUUUGUUUAUUGAAUAAAAAAAAACAAAUAUUAAACAAAAUAAAAUAUAAUUAUGAAUUUGGGUAUCCGAUAGAAAAUAAUUCACCUUAUCAUCCUUUAAAACUUUAAAAAUAAACAAAAUAAAACAAAAGAGACUGUCUAUUAUUUAUUCAUUUCUUUCUUCUCUUUUGAUUCAUUAGCUGAGUUAAUAUUCAGUUAUUUGGUUUUAGGUCUUAAAAAAUAUGACACAAAAUCUCGAUGACUUUGACGAUGUCGAGUUUAAAAUUCUUUUAACCAACUUCUAAAAAUAGACAAAAAAAAACAAUAAAUUAAAUUCCAAAAUAAAAAAUAAACAAUAUUUGGGUAGAAAGGUUUUUUUAAUCGCAUAUUUAACUUUAAAACACUAGCGUUUUCCGUUAUUUUUGCGGAAAAAGAAUAUUUUUAAGUUAAAAGUGGUUUUUCACCUGCAUAUAAAAUCCUUGACCCCGAAAUUUAAAAAAUAAAAAAAAGUGCUUCUGUUUUAACUCAGCCAAUGAAUCUAAAGAGAAGAAAGUAAAGAUGUAUGUUUCAAUUUUCAAAGGAAAUUGGCAAAGGCUUUCUUAGUAGAAAUGGAUAUUUA
rnacentral:lncRNA from 1 species